rnacentral:ncRNA from 1 species
UUUAUUAAAUUUUAUAAAAUUAAUGAACUUUUAACACUUAUAAAAUUAAUCUACAUGACACAGCAAGCUCUGCUGUAUAUUAUUCAGUUUAUCUUAUUAUAAGUAGAAAUAUACGAGUUACAGUUAAGAAGGUUAAAUUAGUGCCAGCAGCUGCGGUUAGACUAAAUUAUUUUUGUGCUAUAGGGGUUGCUUUUUAUAUUUUUUGUGUUAACUAACUGGUAAAAAAAAAAUAAUUAAUUUUUAAUAAAUACAGCAGUAAACAUAAACUAAAAUAGGAUUAGAUACCCUAGUAUUUUGUCAACAAAUCCUUAAUAAUAAAUAUAAAAUAAGAAUAUUUGGCGGCUUUAGGUGUUUAAAGGGGCUUGUUAAUAAACGAUAAGCCGCGUUUAAUCCUACUUUAUUAAAUUUUGUAUACCUUCAUGUAGAUACUCUUUUAUAGUAAACUAUUAUACGAAAAUAGAUCAAGGUGCAGAAAUUUUUAAGUGAUAUUAGCCACAAUAUUUAUUAAUAUGACGAAAAACUAAAAUAUCAGGUGGAUUUAAUUUUAAUAAAUAAAUUUAUGAUAUUUUAUCUUAAAGUGCUCAGAUCGCCCGUCACUCUCUAUGAGAUAAGUCGAAACAAAGUAAGUCCACUGGAAAGUGGACUUA